rnacentral:rRNA from 1 species
CCUACGGGAGGCAGCAGUGAGGAAUAUUGGUCAAUGGGCGGAAGCCUGAACCAGCCAAGUAGCGUGCAGGAUGACGGCCCUAUGGGUUGUAAACUGCUUUUAUACAGGAAUAAAGUUAGCCACGUGUGGUUAUUUGUAGGUACUGUAUGAAUAAGGACCGGCUAAUUCCGUGCCAGC